UAUCUCUCCGUACGGGGAAGGAUGAGAAGCUUCGACUAAGGUUCGAUUCGAGCGCAGCGAGAAAGCGUUGCCGCAGGCAACGACCCGAAGGGCGAAGCGC
rnacentral:sRNA from 2 species